rnacentral:rRNA from 1 species
AGAGUUUGAUCCUGGCUCAGGAUGAACGCUGGCGGCGUGCCUAAUACAUGCAAGUCGAACGCUUCACUUCGGUGAAGAGUGGCGAACGGGUGAGUAAUACAUAAGUAACCUGGCAUCUACAGGGGGAUAACUGAUGGAAACGUCAGCUAAGACCGCAUAGGUGUAGAGAUCGCAUGAACUCUAUAUGAAAAGUGCUACGGGACUGGUAGAUGAUGGACUUAUGGCGCAUUAGCUUGUUGGUAGGGUAACGGCCUACCAAGGCGACGAUGCGUAGCCGACCUGAGAGGGUGACCGGCCACACUGGGACUGAGACACGGCCCAGACUCCUACGGGAGGCAGCAGUAGGGAAUUUUCGGCAAUGGGGGAAACCCUGACCGAGCAACGCCGCGUGAAGGAAGAAGUAAUUCGUUAUGUAAACUUCUGUCAUAGAGGAAGAACGGUGGAUAUAGGGAAUGAUAUCCAAGUGACGGUACUCUAUAAGAAAGCCACGGCUAGCUACGUGCCAGCAGCCGCGGUAAUACGUAGGUGGCGAGCGUUAUCCGGAAUUAUUGGGCGUAAAGAGGGAGCAGGCGGCACUAAGGGUCUGUGGUGAAAGAUCGAAGCUUAACUUCGGUAAGCCAUGGAAACCGUAGAGCUAGAGUGUGUGAGAGGAUCGUGGAAUUCCAUGUGUAGCGGUGAAAUGCGUAGAUAUAUGGAGGAACACCAGUGGCGAAGGCGACGAUCUGGCGCAUAACUGACGCUCAGUCCCGAAAGCGUGGGGAGCAAAUAGGAUUAGAUACCCUAGUAGUCCACGCCGUAAACGAUGAGUACUAAGUGUUGGGUGUCAAACCUCAGUGCUGCAGUUAACGCAAUAAGUACUCCGCCUGAGUAGUACGUUCGCAAGAAUGAAACUCAAAGGAAUUGACGGGGGCCCGCACAAGCGGUGGAGCAUGUGGUUUAAUUCGAAGCAACGCGAAGAACCUUACCAGGUCUUGACAUCGAUCUAAAGGCUCCAGAGAUGGAGAGAUAGCUAUAGAGAAGACAGGUGGUGCAUGGUUGUCGUCAGCUCGUGUCGUGAGAUGUUGGGUUAAGUCCCGCAACGAGCGCAACCCCUGUUGCCAGUUGCCAGCAUUAAGUUGGGGACUCUGGCGAGACUGCCGGUGACAAGCCGGAGGAAGGCGGGGAUGACGUCAAAUCAUCAUGCCCCUUAUGACCUGGGCUACACACGUGCUACAUGGACAGAGCAGAGGGAAGCGAAGCCGCGAGGUGGAGCGAAACCCAUAAAACUGUUCUCAGUUCGGACUGCAGUCUGCAACUCGACUGCACGAAGAUGGAAUCGCUAGUAAUCGCGAAUCAGCAUGUCGCGGUGAAUACGUUCUCGGGCCUUGUACACACCGCCCGUCACACCAUGAGAGUCGGUAACACCCGAAGCCGGUGGCCUAACCGCAAGGAAGGAGCUGUCUAAGGUGGGACUGAUGAUUGGGGUGAAGUCGGAACAAGGUA